rnacentral:rRNA from 1 species
GAUGAACGCUGGCGGCGUGCCUAAUACAUGCAAGUCGAGCGAACAGACGAGGAGCUUGCUCCUCUGACGUUAGCGGCGGACGGGUGAGUAACACGUGGAUAACCUACCUAUAAGACUGGGAUAACUUCGGGAAACCGGAGCUAAUACCGGAUAAUAUAUUGAACCGCAUGGUUCAAUAGUGAAAGACGGUUUUGCUUUCACUUAUAGAUGGAUCCGCGCCGCAUUAGCUAGUUGGUAAGGUAACGGCUUACCAAGGCAACGAUGCGUAGCCGACCUGAGAGGGUGAUCGGCCACACUGGAACUGAGACACGGUCCAGACUCCUACGGGAGGCAGCAGUAGGGAAUAUUCCGCAAUGGGCGAAAGCUUGACGGAGCAACGCCGCGUGAGUGAUGAAGGUCUUCGGAUCGUAAAACUCUGUUAUUAGGGAAGAACAAAUGUGUAAGUAACUAUGCACGUCUUGACGGUACCUAAUCAGAAAGCCACGGCUAACUACGUG